rnacentral:rRNA from 1 species
CAGUCGCCGCGGUAAUACGUAGGGUGCGAGCGUUAAUCGGAAUUACUGGGCGUAAAGCGUGCGCAGGCGGUUCGUUAAGACAGAUGUGAAAGCCCCCGGCUCAACCGGGGAGGGUCAUUGGAAACUGGGAAACUUGAGUGCAGAAGAGGAGAGUGGAAUUCCACGUGUAGCGGUGAAAUGCGUAGAGAUGUGGAGGAACACCAGUGGCGAAGGCGACUCUCUGGUCUGUAACUGACGCUGAGGAGCGAAAGCGUGGGGAGCGAACAGGAUUAGAUACCCCGGUAGUCCCUGUCUCUUAUAC